GAAAAUAACGAACUCUAUGAGUCUCAUAAUAACAUUUCAUACACUAAAAUGUAAUAAUAGCUGCUCUCAUGUGAUCGCAUUUUUUUAACACUAAUUUUAAUUAAUAAUCAAUAUAUGUCUCUAUAUAUUCAAUAGCUAUUUCAUAUAUUAAAUUAUAUUCUAUAUUGAUUGGAUUAUAAUAAAAUUACAAAAAAUAAAGUAAACAUUAAUAAGAAUAAAAAGAACUUUCAUUUUCAGCUAAAGCACAUUUCACAUACAAAAAGCAACAAUUAGAGGCCAUGUGACAUUUUUCGUUUUAAACUACCAUAGUGCAUGUACAAUGUUCUUUUUUAUAUUCUAAUAGUAGUAGUAGUAGUAGCAGUAGCAGUAGCAGUAGUGGUAGUGGUAGUAGUAGUAGUAGAAGUAGUAGUAGUAGUAGUGUAGUAGUAGUAGUAGUAGUAGUAGUAGUAGUAGUAGUAGUAGUAGUAGUAGUAAUAAUAAUAAUAAUAAUAAUAAUAAUAAUAAUAAUAAUAAUAAUAAUAAUAAUAAUAAUAAUAAUAAUAAUAAUAAUAAUAAUAAUAAUAAUAUCUUUCAUAUACUUUUGUUAUUCGUGUAUCAUUAAUGAAAGUGCACGUGCACAAUAAUUGUAGAUAGUCACUGAUUCUUUAUAUUUGGCCCUCUGUCGGCAGAGUAAAAAUUUAUUGCAUCUAAAGGUUCUUAGAACAAUUUUUUUCUCAUUUUUCAAUUAAAGUUAGUUUCAGUCCCGGCCAGAUUGCGACACUAUGCUCAAUGUGAGUCCUUCCGUUUUCAAGAUUGCAUAUAAGUAACACCUGUAUGUGCCGUGUAUUAACUAAUUUUCGGGUAAUACGAAUUAAUUAUUGAUACUGAUUAUCUUCAUUUGAAAGACGUGAAUCCUAUAUGCAGCCUUAAAAGUGCUUCAUACUUCCUUUUUUUGUGAUACGCAUACUUAGAACAAUAUAAACAUAACUCGUAUACCCUGUAAUGGUCAGGAAGUGUCAAUUUCCAAUCUGGCCAUGUCAAAUGUUACGAUCGAUGCUAGAAUACUUUCUACUAUAUUAUGUCCAUAAAUAGCUUGCACGCUAUGAGACACCUCUAUCGUCUUUGGGUUUUAUAAUUAGUCAAAGAUCUUCUCAACAAAUUCAGUAAUUAUAAAUAAUUUUCGAUCGACUAACAAAUUGUACUUUGGAACACACGCAAUCACGUAGAUGAAAUAAUCAUCGCAGAUCAACGUUUCUCAAAAAUAUUAAAAAUUGCUGAAACACUCGAGUAACACAUAUCUAGAUGUGUGUUAAAUAUCCAUGAGGAAUUACUUUUUAAAUGACACGAAUGUACAAACGUUGUGCAUGACUUAUAUAGCCUUUACUCGGCUCGACAUAGAAACAUUUAUACUUAUCUUUCUAUGUGAACUAUAAAACCCAAAACCAAAAUCUAAUUGGCAGUAUAGUGUUGGACGUUGCGCCCAGCGCAAGGUGCAUAGCAGAGAUGCUGCAGCUAGUAAGGAUUGGAUACCUUACUUCUGACAAAAAAACAAUGUUUAUGCGGUUUGAAUAAGAUAAUACCAGAGGUUACACGUAUGUGGCCAUAGUGCCGCUUGGAAUGGGCGGUGUUUCU
rnacentral:misc_RNA from 1 species